GAUAACGCCCCCUCGCACUCACCUGGUCCACGCAUUCUGUGGGGCGGCGGGCCAGUUUUCCCCCAAAUCCACCACCGUCGCUCUCGGGAAUCGCCGGAAUAGUGGAAGGCGAAGGGAGAAGGGGAGAAGGGGGGAGGGGAGAAAGAGAGCGACCCCCUGCGACUGCCAAAAUGACGACGGGAUGAGGGCCGGCUCGCCAUACGCGCGCGGCAACCAGCAAGCGGAGGAGGGAGGAGACAGGUGUCGGAGUCCCGGUGACCAGCAAGCGAAGAGCCGAGGGGACAGCGUCGUCUGUGCGCCGCGACCACCUAGCGGGGAGGAGCUAGAUCGGGGAAGGUGCCGUCGCCAGGUGGUCGAGGAAUCGGGCAGCAAAGUGCCGAAAAAAAGGUGGAGCUGGAGAGGCCGUUGGGGAGGAGGAAACUUACAUUCUAAUGCAGGAGGCGCCGGGAGGGAGGUGCUGAGCGGUUAUGAUCGGGGGUAGGAUCCUGCGCCAUGUGCGAUGGUGGUUAGGACCCUUUCUUUCCUUUUUUGUAUGACAGCUGGCAAAGGGUGCGGGACACCACUGCCAUAUUUAGGUGUGUGCUCUGGAACGCUACCCAGCCAACGUGUGCUGGCUAGUCGCGUCCUUGGGAUAUUGGGUUGCAUUGGUGGUGCAGACUUACGAGGACAAGGACGGCAACCUGAUGGUGCCCGGGGAACGAAAGCGCUCCAUGAUCCCGGAGUCGGGCCUGAGGUACGCCACUCGCCACUGCGGCGGAACCACCGUGCCGCCGGCCGCGGCGAACCCGUUCGACUUCUAGGAGAUUGCUGGAUGGGGGUGAGGGUCGUUAGCUAGUGAAGGAGUGGUGAUUGCCUGGCUAUUACAUCUAUGAUCUGGAAUAUUGCGUGGCGUACUGGCGUUGGAUUUGAACCACCAUGAUCGAGGAACUUCGGAACUACGUAUUCGGAAGUGUCGUUGGUUGGAUACAUUUCGUGUCUACUUUGAAAUGCCUAGAUCUUGAGAUCGUCGAGCCAUUUUUACAUGUGGUUGUGGUUAAGCAUGCGAAAGAAUGUCGAACCAUCUACGGCCUGUUGAACUAUAUGCUGAUCAGAGCUAUGGAAUUCCUUGUUGAACCA